rnacentral:rRNA from 1 species
AGCUAGUUGGUGAGGUAAUGGCCCACCAAGGCGACGAUCGGUAGCCGGACUGAGAGGUUGAACGGCCACAUUGGGACUGAGACACGGCCCAGACUCCUACGGGAGGCAGCAGUGGGGAAUAUUGCACAAUGGGGGAAACCCUGAUGCAGCGACGCCGCGUGGAGGAAGAAGGUCUUCGGAUUGUAAACUCCUGUUGUUGAGGAAGAUAAUGACGGUACUCAACAAGGAAGUGACGGCUAACUACGUGCCAGCAGCCGCGGUAAAACGUAGGUCACAAGCGUUGUCCGGAAUUACUGGGUGUAAAGGGAGCGCAGGCGGGAAGGCAAGUUGGAAGUGAAAUCCAUGGGCUCAACCCAUGAACUGCUUUCAAAACUGUUUUUCUUGAGUAGUGCAGAGGUAGGCGGAAUUCCCGGUGUAGCGGUGGAAUGCGUAGAUAUCGGGAGGAACACCAGUGGCGAAGGCGGCCUACUGGGCACCAACUGACGCUGAGGCUCGAAAGUGUGGGUAGCAAACAGGAUUAGAUACCCUGGUAGUCCACACUGUAAACGAUGAUUACUAGGUGUUGGAGGAUUGACCCCUUCAGUGCCGCAGUUAACACAAUAAGUAAUCCACCUGGGGAGUACGACCGCAAGGUUGAAACUCAAAGGAAUUGACGGGGGCCCGCACAAGCAGUGGAGUAUGUGGUUUAAUUCGACGCAACGCGAAGAACCUUACCAAGUCUUGACAUCCUGCGACGGUGCUGGAAACAGUACUUUCCUUCGGGACGCAGAGACAGGUGGUGCAUGGUUGUCGUCAGCUCGUGUCGUGAGAUGUUGGGUUAAGUCCCGCAACGAGCGCAACCCUUAUGGUCAGUUACUACGCAAGAGGACUCUGGCCAGACUGCCGUUGACAAAACGGAGGAAGGUGGGGAUGACGUCAAAUCAUCAUGCCCUUUAUGACUUGGGCUACACACGUACUACAAUGGCGUUAAACAAAGAGAAGCAAGACCGCGAGGUGGAGCAAAACUCAGAAACAACGUCCCAGUUCGGACUGCAGGCUGCAACUCGCCUGCACGAAGUCGGAAUUGCUAGUAAUCGCAGAUCAGCAUGCUGCGGUGAAUACGUUCCCGGGCCUUGUACACACCGCCCGUCACACCAUGAGAGCCGGGGGGACCCGAAGUCGGUAGUCUAACCGCAAGGAGGACGCCGCCGAAGGUAAAACUGGUGAUUGGGGUGAAGUCGGAACAAGGUAGCCGUAGGAGAACCUGCGGCUG